rnacentral:rRNA from 1 species
CGGGUGAGUAAUGUCUGGGAAACUGCCCGAUGGAGGGGGAUAACUACUGGAAACGGUAGCUAAUACCGCAUAACGUCGCAAGACCAAAGAGGGGGACCUUCGGGCCUCUUGCCAUCGGAUGUGCCCAGAUGGGAUUAGCUAGUAGGUGGGGUAACGGCUCACCUAGGCGACGAUCCCUAGCUGAUCUGAGAGGAUGAUCAGCCACACUGGGACUGAGACACGGCCCAG